rnacentral:lncRNA from 1 species
GCAUCCAUGGGUAGAUUUUUAACCAAUUAUUUUAUCAAAUAAUUUCUAGCAAUUAGAUUUUAUCCUAGGCAUCUCUUCAGCAGCCGUUUGGCAUCUUCACUGAAAAUUUUGGUUAGAUCCAACUAUUAACAUGACUACACCAAGUGCAUCCAAUAAAUGAAUACCCAAGCUCGAGUGUGGCUCGGCCAACCUGACCACUGAUCUGAAAGGCACAACAAGGUGGU